AUUUGGUAAAAGACCAAGUCCAUAUGAGGGCAAGAACAGCUCAAACAAGCAAAGAGAAGCAACAGUCCAUCACUACGUUAAGACAUGAAGGUCAGUCAAUCCGGAAUAUUUCAAGAACUUUUAACGUUUUUCUUUGAGUACGCGUGUCCAAACUUUUGACUGGUACUGUAUGUUUCCAAGAUGUAUUUUUAGAAACAAUACAAAACAUACAAAUGACUACAUCAUACAAACAUCACUACACCCCUCCUGCCCACUAGCCCCACCCCUAUCUCUAGCACAUGGUCUCAAACUGCAUUUAAAAAAAAUCUUUGUUGAUAUUAUGGCAAGAACAGCUCAAAUAAGCAAAGAAAAACAACACUCCAUCAUUACUUUAAGACAUGAAGGUCAGUCAAUCCAGAAAAUUUCAAGAGCUCUGAAAGUUUCUUCAAGUGCAGUCACAAAAAACAUCAAGUGCUAUGAUGAAACUGGCUCUCAUGAGGACCACCACAGGAAAGGAAGCCCCAGAGUUACCUCUGCUGCAGAGGAUCAGUUCAUUAGACUUACCAGCGACAGAAAUUGCAGCCCAAAUAAAUGCUUCACAGAGUUGAAGCAAUAGAUACAGCUCAACAUCAGCUGUUCAGAAGAGACUGCGUGAAUCAGGCCUUCAUGGUCAAAUUGCUGCAAAGAAACCACUACUAAAGGACACCAAUAAGAAGAAGAGACUUGCUUGGGCCAAGAAACAUGAGCAAUGGACAUUAGACUGGUGGAAAUCUGUCUUUCUUGGGGACCUGAAUGUUGACUGGUUUUCAUCAAGCUGUCUGCUCAAGAGGAAGCUUCUCAAUGUAACCAGUGCCUGUAAUCUGGUUCAGGUUAUUAAGCCUGAAUGCCAAGCGUCAAAUCUGGAGGAAACCUGGCGCCAUCCCUACGGUGAAGCAUGGUGGUGGCAGCAUCAUGCUGUGGGGAUAUUUUUCUGAGGCAGGGACUAGGAAACUAGUCAGGAUCGAGGGAAAGAUGAACGGAGCAAAGUACAGAGAGAUCCUUGAUGAAAACCUGCUCCAGAGUGCUCAGGACGAUCAGACUGGGGCGAAGGUUCACCUUCCAACAGGACAACAACCUUAAGUGUAACAGGAUAGCGGGAGAUCGCGAACGUCAGGUCUUCCCAGUAUGAAAAUGUGAUGCAAGGGAUUUUGCCAUCAAUACCGUUAAGCCCUGCACAACUAACAUGCUGUUUCCCAUUUAUCAACAGAAAUAAAUGAUGCUCAACUGGGACCACUGGCCGAAGUGAUUUAUGUUGAGAAAACACAAUGCAUGGAGAGUACAUAUACAUCUGUUACAUAAGCACACAGCCAAGACAAUGAAGGAGUGGCUUCGGGACAAGUUUCUGAAUGUCCUUGAGUGGCCCAGCCAGAGCCCAAACUUGAACCCAUUCUAACAUCUCUGGAGAGACCUGAAAAUAGUUGUGCAGCGAAGCUCCCCAUCCAACCUGGCAGAGCUUGAGAGGAUCUGCAGAGAAGAAUGGGAGAAACUCCCCAUAGACAGGUGUGCCAAGCUUGUAGCAUCAUACCCAAGAAGACUCAAGGCUGUACUCGCUGCCAAAGAUGCUUCAACAAAGCACUGAGAAAAGGGUCUGAAUACUUAUGUAAAUGGUAUUUACUUUUUAAAAAUGUUUUAAAAUAAAUUUGCUAACAUUUCUA
ensembl:lncRNA